UACGUAGGUGGCAAGCGUUAUCCGGAUUUACUGGGUGUAAAGGGCGUGUAGGCGGGGAAGCAAGUCAGAUGUGAAAACCACGGGCUCAACCUGUGGCCUGCAUUUGAAUCUGUUUUUCUUGAGUGCUGGAGAGGCAAUCGGAAUUCCGUGUGUAGCGGUGAAAUGCGUAGAUAUACGGAGGAACACCAGUGGCGAAGGCGGAUUGCUGGACAGUAACUGACGCUGAGGCGCGAAAGCGUGGGGAGCAAACAGG
rnacentral:rRNA from 1 species